AACGAACGCUGGCGGCAGGCUUAACACAUGCAAGUCGAACGCCCCGCAAGGGGAGUGGCAGACGGGUGAGUAACGCGUGGGAAUCUACCUAGUUCUACGGAACAACACAGGGAAACUUGUGCUAAUACCGUAUACGCCCUACGGGGGAAAGAUUUAUCGGAAUUAGAUGAGCCCGCGUAAGAUUAGCUAGUUGGUGGGAUAAUGGCCUACCAAGGCGACGAUCUUUAGCUGGUCUGAGAGGAUGAUCAGCCACACUGGGACUGAGACACGGCCCAGACUCCUACGGGAGGCAGCAGUGGGGAAUAUUGGACAAUGGGCGAAAGCCUGAUCCAGCCAUGCCGCGUGAGUGAUGAAGGCCUUAGGGUUGUAAAGCUCUUUCAGUAGGGAAGAUAAUGACGGUACCUACAGAAGAAGCCCCGGCUAACUUCGUGCCAGCAGCAGCCGCCGUAA
rnacentral:rRNA from 1 species